GGCGAGAUAGCUCAGGCGGUUAGAGCGCAGGAUUCAUAACCCUGAGGUCGAGGGUUCAACUCCCUCUUUCGCUA
rnacentral:tRNA from 1 species